rnacentral:tRNA from 1 species
GUCUUCGUGGCUCAGUCGGUAGAGCGUUGGUCUCAUAAUCCAAAGGUCGAGAGUUCGAGCCUCUCUGAGGACA